ACCCUUUGAACCGGGAUCGCAAUCGCUUAUAUUCAUGGGUGCCGGCUUGUCCGGCUAUGGCGCUAAACGCGGCAUGGAAUAGGCGUAGUGGACCCGGGGGCAGUACCCGGCGCCUCCACCAACCUUAGGCCCAGGUGGCUCAUUCUUGAGUGCAUGGUCCUUAGGUUCCGCCAAGUGGCAGAGGGAAGCUCGUAAAAAAGCAUGCCCGCCGUCGCUUGACGGCAUGGGGGCGAAACAGGAUCGACACGCGCAGUAAAGAUGACGUUUGUUCCCGGCAUGGUACCGCCGUUAUCGGGCCCUAUUAUAGUUGCAAACGAUAAUUAUGCAGCUCCAACCGCACUCGCAGCCUAAGGCAGCGCGUAACGUUGAAAUUAAAUUCCCUAGUCGUUGCUGAUUAGGGUGGGGACCGGGGGCCGCCUAGCAACAGAAGGCCCCCACU
rnacentral:tmRNA from 1 species